rnacentral:rRNA from 1 species
AACGAACGCUGGCGGCAUGCCUAACACAUGCAAGUCGAACGAGACCUUCGGGUCUAGUGGCGCACGGGUGCGUAACGCGUGGGAACCUGCCCUUAGGUUCGGAAUAACUCCCCGAAAGGGGUGCUAAUACCGGAUAAUGUCUUCGGACCAAAGAUUUAUCGCCUUUGGAUGGGCCCGCGUUGGUUUAGCUAGUUGGUAGGGUAAAAGCCUACCAAGGCGACGAUCCAUAGCUGGUCUGAGAGGAUGACCAGCCACACUGGGACUGAGACACGGCCCAGACUCCUACGGGAGGCAGCAGUGGGGAAUAUUGGACAAUGGGCGAAAGCCUGAUCCAGCAAUGCCGCGUGAGUGAUGAAGGCCUUAGGGUUGUAAAGCUCUUUUACCCGGGAUGAUAAUGACAGUACCGGGAGAAUAAGCUCCGGCUAACUCCGUG